rnacentral:lncRNA from 1 species
AGACCUGUUGCUGUGGCUUCUCUGGAGGGGACCUGCUCCUGCGGCUUCUCUUGGAAUGGACUGUGCUGCUUCUUCCUUCUACCACUCAUCCCUUUGCUCAGAUGCUGCUCUCCUGCUGUUUGUCCAGCCCCCUCUCCCCUGCACACAGGAUUCCUGUGCUCCCCGCCCUUCCCAUGGGUGCAAAUCCCUGCUUUCCUGUGCUUCUUCCUCACUGAUGGGAAGCUAAGGGCAGGGUCAUCUCUCACGUGAUGUUGCUUCCUGUGUUGAGGACUGCAUCUGACUCACUACAGGUUUGGAGAAGAGCAUCGUCCUGGCUUGGGGGCCUCCCUGGUGAUAACAACACGGUGCCCACCAUGAGGGCAAGAAAGAGUUCCUGGGAGCAGGAGGGCUACAAGCCAAAGAUGAGUGUAUCAUGUCUGGUCAUCCACACUCUCACUUUUCAAAGGUGAUCUUCUCCCUUUCCCUGGACACUUGAAUCGGGUCUUAUCUGAACGCGCUGGCGUCUUGGGCAGGCUGCACAUCAGGAUUGGUUCUGAUUAGUGAAAGCAGUCUCCUCCUGUCCCCAAGUCCAGGAGAGGGUAAAUGAGGGGGACAGAGCUGUGGCUGUGCCUCUCCCUGUGGGAUGGGCUUGCCGCAGGGGGUUCCUUCCCCAGUGGGCUGUUGCUGCAUUUCAGACCUUUGCAAAGGAGAAGCAGAUCUCACCUGCUCUUUUUCUGGUCUUCGACCAUCCACUCCUCAUAGGAAUUGCUUUAUUUAUUGCUCCUCUUAUUAUGAAUUUCUCUGCACAGACCUGAUUCUUUGGCUGGAUCGUAAGCUCCUCGACAAUGGGUACUGCAUCUUUUUAUCCCCUCCUUCUAUAAGAGUUUCCUGGCUAGAAGAAUGGAUGCUGGGUGACCCAAGGCUGCCCGGUUUCCUCGGAGCGCCUCACUGCGCCUCCCUCCCUGCAAGCCCACAUUUUAAAACACUUCACCUGUGUCUCGAUUUCAGUCAAGUGGAACAUUCUGUUGACAGGAUGGGAAGGCCUGUGGCAAUUUCCUCCAUGCAACAUUCAGGAUCGCUCCAAGUUUUCCAUUUUAGCGAGUCCUCCCCCCGGCCCCUUGCCCCGAGCUCUGCACCUCGCUUGCCUUCCGAAAUUGCUUUCCUGUGGCUUUUGCUAAUGGUCUCAUACCUUGAUGCCAGAGAGACAAACUUAAUGGAAGAAAAGAGAAGUGCAGAGGAAGUCGCCUCUAAGUGAACUCCAAGCUUGGGGGUGGGGAAAUGGCUUGGUAGGAAUAUUUUCCCUUAGAUUGAUGCGGUGUCAAAAUAUGAGGCAAGUUUCUUACACAUUCACUGUGCCCUUAACAAGAAAUAUAAUCUUUUUAAGACCUCUGUUAAACAAAACCUUUUUUUUUUUUUUUUUUUUUUUUUGUCUUUUUAGGGCUGUACCUGAGGCAUAUGGAAGUUCCUGGGCUAGGGGUUGAAUCGGAGCGGCAGCUGCCAGCGUACAGCACAGCCACAGCAAUGUGGGAUCUGAGCUGUGUCUGCGACCUACACCACAGCUCACAACAAGGCUGGAUCCUUAACCCACUGAGCGAGGCCAAGGAUCGAACCUGUGUCCUCAUGCAUACUAGUUGAGUUCAUUACUGCUGAGCCACAUGGGAACGUCCUAAACAAAAACUUUAUAACCCAAUUGUCUAUUAAUUUCUUUAAGGGGACAUAAGAGUUCAUCUCCUCCAGUAGUCUAAGAGCAAAUUAAGGGUGAGGUUUGCACUUUGAUUGGUCUCCACCUCCCCAAGAUUUCUUGUUAUUUCCGUGUAGUAGGCAUUCAGGAAACGUUGACCUGCUGUUAAAGGGGCGGGGGGCCUCUUUUCCACCUGGGAUUCCUUCUGUCCUGUGGCAUUAGGGCCAGAGCAACAACCGCCAUCUCCAUAGCAACAGUGGAGGUAAUGGAGAGGAAUAAGACUGCAAAUUCCAAGUCUCCAAAAAAGAAUGCGACUGUUUGGAGCCACAACAAUGAGGUACAGCAGAUGAAAGAAGGAUGAUGGGAAGCAGAAUUAGCAGGAAGCCUUAGGUCAGCGCUUAAUCCCCAAAGAGUCCACUGCCCAUUAUCUUUGUAAAUCAAGAACUCUGAAUGUCAAGGGCUUUACCACCUCCCAAAGGUUCACACCAGCAGUUGAGCGCAAUAGAACUUCUGAAAUAUGGGGAGCUAUUAUUAGAGUCACUGCAGCCUUUUUGUUGUCAUUUUGUAUCAGCAUUUCACAGGAGCUGUGCUCUUUGAUCUCCAGACUGUCUUUGGCUCCCUCUUGGUCUGAAGUCCGGAUUUAAAUAUAAGGGGGAGGGGUAUAAACCAGAUGGCCGCCUUGCCGCUGUGAUCUGUAGAGAUGGCAGGCCUCUGACAACUUCCUUUCUCCCCAGAGUUCCACUUUUGGGUAGUGCAGAGCUGCGAAUUCGCUUAUUGAUCUUGAAACCGAAAGAGUUAGUUCCCAGUCGCUGCAAUUGACAAAGGCUUUUGCAGCUCAUUACCCACCAGACUACGUGGCACAAUUCAUUAAAAUUCUGUUUCAUUGACUGCAUUUGUAAAUAGGCUUGGGGAAGUUUAUCACUUUCUGCCUCUUGCAGAGCUUUCCUUCAAUGAGUGCAUUUUUUUUCUUCUCCUCUUUCCCGAUAGAAAAAGUCUGCAGUAAUUUACCACAAGAUGUGUUAUCAUUUAAAUGCAAACGAAAAUGAAAUACUGACUGGGAAUCAUAGGUUCCUAGAAUUCCAGCCCCCCCCCCGCCCCACACCCUUUCUAUUUGCUGCUAUCUGAUUAUGUGUGGGUUAUUUUAAUAAAUACAUUUGCUUCGGGCUCUUGUGACAUUAAUUUUGUAUAAAUUGUCAGAAUUUUUAGCGGGCCUUUGCCCUGUAAUUGCUCUUAUUUGAAUGCAAGCAAAAAGGGAAAGACGAAAGGUAAUUUUAAAAAAUCUCUCUUCUUUUUAUUAAUACCGAAGCGUUAAGGAAGUUAUUCUUUGUAAAGUGUCCAUCUUUGGAUGAACCCAGAGCAUCUGACAGAGGGCAGGAAACCAGGUAUGAUGCCCCCCUCAGGUGUGCUGUGAGCUGUUUGUUUACCCUAGAGGAAGGUUUUCCUGUAAAGGACAUAUGGUGAAUCUUUGUGGGCUAGGUGGUCUCUGUCAUAGCUGCUCAGCUCUGCCAUUGAGGUGCAAAAGCAGCUAUGAGAUUAUGGUGCAAAAUCAGCCACAACAUCAUGGUGCAAAAGCAGCUUACUUUUAAUGUAAAUGAGCAUGGCUGUGUUUCAGUAAACCUUGAUCUACGGACACUGCAAGGAAAAUUUCAUACGACUUUUAAGUGUCAUGAAAUUCUCCUUCCCACUCUCUCCCAACCAUUAUAAAUGCGAAACCAUUCAUAGUUUGUGGGCUGUAUAGAUACAGGUGGUAGGUGGCAUUCAGUGUGCUGGCAGGCUGUAGUUGGCCGACCCCAGCCCUAGAUCCAUGGUGUUCAACUGUGGUUCCUUGAUGGGCCUGGGAACUUGUGAGGUGGGCUGAAGGCCAGUCUUGAUCCAAACUAGAGAGAGAGUAAUACCAAGGCCUGUAGUUGGAGUAAGAAUUUCUCCAGCUACCUUCUUGUGUUCUUCUAAUGCUUUGUAAGAAAGUCAUUCUCUGCCUGGGUUAUCCUGGCCACACCAAAAGGAGUGGUGGGUGGCACUGCAGAGAUCUCUUGCCAUGGACACUGUUGGGUUAGGAAUGGCCUGUGGGUGUCAAAGGGUGUCUGCUGUUUGCCCAUUUUCAUCAGAGUCAGAGCAUGUCUGGCAUUUCAGCAUCUCCUGAGUGGAAAAAAUAAGGUUGAUAUGCCUUGUGUACAGAGUGACCUGGGUGUUCCUUGCAUUCUGGACAGAACGUCACAUCCUGCAACUCAACUUUGGCAUUUCUAGCCUGGGUCAAUACUCGUAAUCUUAGAGUUCCCUGGUGUGCUCAGUGGGUUAAGGAUUUGGUGCUGUCACUACUGUGGUAAGAGUUCGAUCCCUGGCCCCAGGAACUUCUGGAUGCUGUGGGUGUGGGCAAAAUAAAAUCACCCAAAAUCUUAAGAUCAGUAGCUUAGAUUGUCUAAUUAAACUUUUUCACAGCUGAGCCCGGCCAUCCCAGCACUUAAUAAAGAUGUGAUCCUGAUUUGACAUGUAAUAGUGACAUGUCAAAUGAUGCCCUGGGAUCUGUAAUGUUCCUGGAACUUCACAUUUAUGAACUCAGAGCCUUAAAGUGGGACCCAGGGAAUGGAAGAUGUAUGUUAAUAUCCUCAUCCCGGAAAUGAAGACUCCAAAGCUUAGUGUCUAAAUUGUUUUGCUAAGCUCUCACAGUUGGAAAGUGACUGAGCCAAUUUGCACAUUCAGAUUCAUCAGAAUUAAAAGUUUCUUUCUUUCUUUCUUUUUUUUUCUUCCUAGGCCAGUCUACGUUUGGAACUAGGAAUUCAUUAUGUUUUCUAAGAAAUAGGCAUCAGGAAGAAAGGCACUGCUUGAGAUAUGAGCCUGCGUGAAAUCUCCACUCUUCCAGGAUGUUCAAUGAGGGGUCUGUUAGCUGCAAGAGUCAGGCCAGGAACCCCCUGCUCACCCUGACUGGUGAUAAGCUGCCUCCAGGUCUCUCACAGUUGUGUGGAACUGUGACAGGGAGCAAGUGGCCACUCCAGUCACUGUAUCUCUUAAGUAUGGCUGAGCCUGGAAAAGCAUUCAUUGUAGUUCCAUUUCUGUGAUUUUCCUCUGUGCUUGGAGGGGUUAUAAUUGCACAACAUUCUUGGAGGUCAUCUUUCCUUUCUUGUAAAAGAAAAAAUAAAC